rnacentral:tRNA from 2 species
GGCUUUACCAAAAUUUUGGUUGCAACCCAAAAAAUAAAAGCUUUAGCUUUUUAAAGCCU